rnacentral:lncRNA from 1 species
GAGACAUAACAUUUAUGGUUUAGUAAUAUAUUAUAAGUUCUAAUAUAUUAAUAAUAUUAUUUAAUUAGUUUGAUCAAGAAUUAAUUUAGAAUUAAUUAAGUGAUCAAAAGAUAACUAAUUAAAUAUAUGGGUAGAUUAUAUAAAUCUUCCAUAUCUUAUAUAGUGGGCUAAGAGGCUCCAUGGAUUAUCAAGUUGGGUUCCACCCAUAGGAUGCUCCAUGGAGUUAACCCAUGGAUCAUGAAAUGAACAGUCAUGUUACAUUAGGGUUUACCUAAUGCAACACUAUAUAAACAAAGGUUUUCUCCCCAAAAUCGGCUAGACUAAGAAACAAGAGGGCUAGAACCGAUUUUGCAAGUGUAAGAUUCUCUCAAAGUUUACUCCUUUGCAUUUUGGUGUUGUGUGAAGCAUUUGAGGCAUCACACUUGGGGUGCUAGGCUCACAAGGUUUCAAGGAUCAUAAUCAACAACAAGGUAUUUAAUUCUAUAUUUCAUUCAAGAUAAAAAUGUUCCCCAUGUAUGCUAGAUAGGAAUAUAACCUUGGAAUUUAACUUUGCAUGAUAAUUAGACAAACAUAGAUCCAAGGUUAUUAGGGUUGCAUGUACACUUAGGAAGUGUUAGCAUGCUCAAAACCCAUCAGUGGUAUCAGAGCCUAGGGUUGUUUGUUGAUUUUUGUGCAAAGUACUUGAAAAAAAUCGAUUUUCUAUUUUCUGCUCGUAUGAACUCGCCGAGUCCAUGGGGGGACUCGACGAGUCCAUGAACAAAUGCAAGCUACUCGUCUGUUCUUGCACUCGACGAGUAGAGGAUGUAGUUUUUAGAAUUUCGACAUUUGUUAAUGGAAAUGGACUAGAAACAUUACCCUAAACUAUUUUGGUGUUUUAAAACUUGUUUUAGAUGGUGUAAUGUUUAUGCUAAUCCAUUUACAAAGGCAAUUAUCAAAAUUACAAGUUUUUUAAGUGUAAUUUUUGAUUCUUGAAAGUGCUCAUAUUCAUGUUCUUGAACUUAUGAAUAUUAGAUGAUCAUAGGAAGUGUUUGUAACCUUCAUGGUUAUUUAAUUCAUGAUCAUAAUGUGUUUUAAUGGAGUCCAUAACUUGUCCUCAAGUUAUGGAAAACCAAAAGUCUCAUUUUUAUUAAAUACAUUAAAAGAACACGAGUUAUAAAUAUGAAGUGACUUCAUUUUUAUUACUCCAUUAAUUCAUAAGUUAUAAGAAAUGAAGAGUUUUGGAAGUUUACAAAACUUGCCCUCAAGUUUUGGAACAAGUAAAGUCUUGAUUAAAAUUUUAGCUCCAACCCUUAGAAUUUUAAAAGUUAAAAUUCAACCCUUAUACUUAUAUUAUUAUGAUUUAAUAAUUAUAUAUAUAUGUAUAAGAACAAAGUCGUCUUACCGCUAGUACGCCUCAUUCACGAAGCCGGUCUAUAAGGUGGGUAUAAGGUUGUUGCCUAUAAAAUGGCAACUUAAUGGGUGUCCACUCUCACCCACCGCUUGCUUGACCGGUGGAGGGUCGUUAGCCGAACGGGUAAGACAAGGACUUAUAAAUUCUCAUUAAAAGUAUGAUGAAUAUUAUAAAGUAACUAAAUGUUUUAUUAAAUUCCCAAUCUUAGUUACUUUAGGAAAAAUGUGAAUAAGGUGCUAAUCCAUGAAAUUACACUUUACACUUUGUUUAAGUCGUUGGUGGAGCGUGUGUGGUUAACCGGCACACUAACUUGGACUUAACAAGGUAGGUAAAGGGUGACUUAAGGUUUAUUAUAGUAUCGGUGGAGCGUGUGUGGUUUACCGGCACAUCGAUUGAGUGAUAAACAUUAAGGGUACCAAGUGAUUUGCAUGGUUACUUCACACCUCGUUUUGUGAUCCUCGGUAUCCCAGUCACAAAACCUGGAGGGCACACUCGAGAUUGAAACAUGCAUUUGAAAAGUUCAUUGAAUCUCAAAAGAAUCUAGGAAUUUCUAAGAACCAAUUAAAAACCUAAUAUCUAUAUUUCGUUUUUCCAUGGUGGAAAUUGGUGAAUCGUCAUUCACCUACCUUUCAAAUAUGUUAUAGCUUGGAUUACGGCAUACCUCUUCUAAGUUAUAAUAUAUUGUGAUUGGAUCCUAGCCUUAAUAUUACAUUUGGGUGUUUUACUAAGGACUCUCUUAAUAUCUAAACUAAUCUUGUUCUCUUCUUUCAGAUGUCUUCAAACAAUGCUGCUUCUGGCUCUAAUCCUAAUGGCUCUUUUACCCUUAUGAACUUGUGUGGGAAAGUCACUUUUGAUGGAUCCAACUUCAAAGAAUGGAUCAGAAACAUCAGAAUAAUUACCCGCUAAGAGGAUAAAGAAUAUGUCCUUGACAAGGAGCUUAAGGAGAUUGAUAAGUCCACUACAACUCCCCAGGAGAUCACUGACUUCCGGGCAAAUGAAAGGGAUGCUACCAAAGUGGCAUCCAUCAUGUUGGGCACCAUGAUAGCAGAAAUCCAAAAGUCCUAUGAGGACUUCUACCCUUUUGAAAUGCACCAAGAUCUGAUGGAAAGAUACCAUCAAAGUGCAAGACAAGAGAGGUAUGAAAUCAUCUGCUCCAUCAUAACAACCAUGAUGAAGGAAGGGGAAUCUGUCACGAGCCACAUGCAGAAAAUGCAAAGGUAUGUGGAUCGGUUACUAAAGCUUAAUGUGGACUUCCUUGAGGAGCUUGCAAUAGAUAUCAUUUUGCACUCCUUACCCUCAUGCUAUGAUCAAUUCCGCAUGACAUAUCACAUGAAUAAGCAAGAGGUCACACUCAGCAAACUUCAAGGACUUCUAAAGACCGCAGAAACAAGUCUUAAGGGUAAGUCGGUUGUUAACACUCCUACUCCAAACUCUGCCCCAAUUUUGGCAAUCGGGAAAGGACGAGGGAAGAAGCGGAAGAGCUCUUCGAAUGGCACCAAGGCUAGGAUCCUUGAUGGCUCUUCUUCAAGUGGAACCAACAAAGGUUUCGUCACUCCUUCUUCUGACCCAAAAGAGGCUGAAUGCUUCUAUUGCCAUGAAAAGUCACAUUGGAAGCGGAACUGCCCAAAAUACCAGCAAGAUGUGAAGGAUGGGAAAGUUAAACCCAACCAUGUAGGUAUUUACACUAUCUUAUCUAAUAACUCACCCUAUUCUAACUCUUGGGUCCUUGAUACCGGUUGUGGUAUUCAUAUCUGUUAUGAUUUGUAGGGACUAAGAAGAAGUGAGAAUGUGGAGCAUGGAAGAAUAAACGUAAUCAUGGGGAAUAGGAAAGCUUUACCUGUCACCAAGAUUGGAGUUUAUACUUUAUCGCUAAGUAGUGGGUUUAGUUUAGAUUUGAAUAAAUGUUGUUAUUCGCUAUAAAUGGAAAGAAAUAUAAUUUCCUUUCAUGCAUUGUAUAAACAAGGUUUUACCUUUUCAUUUGAUAAUGAAGUUGGUUCGAUUAAUGCUUUCUUUAAUAAUGUUCUUUAUUUUAAAGCAUUACCUUGUGAUGGUGUGUAUGAAACUGUAUCUGUGGUUGAUAACUUAGGAAAUAAUGUAUUGUGUAUUGAUUCUGUUAAUAAUAAUAACUUGGAUAAAGCAUCAUUAUGGCAUUGUCGUCUUGGACAUAUAAGCAAGAAACGCAUAGGCCAACUCCAAAAGGAUGGAGUCUUGGAGUCAUUUGACCUAAAGUCAGAUGAUAGUUGCGAAUCAUGCUUACUUGGAAAAAUGACAAAGUCACCCUUCACAGGUUCUUGUGAGAGGGGUGAAGGUUUGUUGGACCUUGUACACACGGAUGUGUGUGGACCAUUCAAACAUGCCACAAGGGAUGCUAAUCGUUAUUAUUUGACUUUUACUGAUGAUUAUAGUAGAUAUGGAUAUGUCUAUUUAAUCAAGCAUAAGUCAGAGACUUUUGAGAGGUUUAAAGAGUUUAAAUAGGAAGUCGAGAAUCAAUUAGGCAGGAACAUUAAGAUGCUUUGAUCCGGUCGAGGUAGUGAGUAUCUUAGUUCAGAGUUCCUCGAUUAUCUUAGGGAAUGUGGGAUUAUCUCACAAUUGACACCUCCUAAGACACCGCAUUUGACUGGUGUAGCUGAGAGGCAUAAUCAAACCUUGUUGGAUAUGGUUCGUUCCAUGAUGAGUCGAGCUUCGCUACCAAUCUCAUUUUGGGGGUAUGCCUUAGAGACUGCCGCCCAUAUCCUUAAUCUGGUCCCUACAAAGAAAGUUGCCAAAACUCCUCAUGAGAUGUGGACUGGUAAAGUACCCAAACUAGACCACAUCAAGAUUUGGGGUUGCGAGGCUUUCAUGAGAUGCGAGACUCAUGAUAAGAUCGAACCUUGAAGCGAGAGGUGUAUUUUCAUCGGCUACCCACAACAAUCCUUUGGUUACCUCUUCUACAGACCUAGUGAAAAUGUGGUCUCUGUAGCAAGGAGGACGUUCUUGAGAGAGAGAGAGAGAGAGAGAGAGAGAGAGAGAGAGAGAGAGAGUUCAUAAGCCAAGGAAACAGUGGGAGGCAAGUUGACCUUGAAGAAAUUCAAGAGUCAAGUGGUGAAGGAACUUCAAACCCUAGCACUCAACUUGAGGAGGAAACUCCUGUUGAGCCAAUUGACAAGUCUGUACCUCUGAGGCAUUCCACAAGGGUUAGGAAUGCACCUGAGCAUUACUAUGGAUUCCAUAUUACUACGGAAGGUAACACGCUUAUCAGUGAUGAGACACUGAUAGGUCUGGAUGAACCUAAUAGUUACGCAGAAACCAUGGCAAGCCUUGAGUCAGCCAAGUGGAAAGAGGCAAUGGACAGCGAGAUACAAUCCAUGUAUGACAAUCAAGUUUGGAACUUGGUUGAGAAUAUACCAGGUCGUAAUACUGUAGGGUGCAAAUGGAUCUUCAAGAAGAAGACUGACAUGGAUGGUAAUGUACACGCUUAUAAGGCACGACUGGUUGCAAAGGGUUUCUCACAAACUUCGGGAGCUGAUUAUGAUGAGACCUUUUCCUCUAGUAGCCAAGAUUAAGUCUAUUAGGGUUCUGUUAGCCAUAGUUUCAUUUCAUGAAUAUGAAAUAUGGCAAAUGGAUGUCAAAACCGCUUUCCUUAAUGGAAAGUUGGCUAAGGAUGUUUACAUGAGUCAGCUAGAGGGUUUUGUCAAUACAGAGUACCCUAAUAGAGUGUGUAAGCUUGAGAAAUCCGUUUAUGGGUUAAAGCAAGCACCUCGCAGAUGGAAUCUUUUCUUUGAUGAGAAAGUCAAAGAAUUUGACUUUUCUAGGAGUGAGGAUGAAUCUUGUGUAUAUGUCAAGGCUAGUGGGAGUAUAGUUAGCUUUUUGGUAUUGUAUGUGGAUGACACACUACUCAUAGAAAAUGACAUCCCAACUCUGUAGGAAGUAAAGUCCUGUCUUGGGAAGUGUUUCUCUAUGAAGGACCUAGGAGAAGCUGCCUAUAUUCUAGGGAUAAGGAUCUUGAGAGACCGGAGUAAAAGACUAAUUGGACUUAGUUAGAGUACCUACUUGGAUAAGGUGCUGAAGAGAUUCGACAUGCAGGACUCCAAGAAAGGAGAGUUACCCAUCCAGAGUAACGCCAAAUUGAGUAAGACACAAAGCCCUAGUACUGAGGCUGAGAUAGCAGAAAUGAGACGAAUACCUUAUGCUUCGGCUGUAGGAUCGAUCAUGUAUGCUAUGACGUGUACUCGACCUGAUUUAGCCUUUGCCUUGAGCAUGGUUAGCAGGUAUCAGGGGAACCCUUACAAGGCAUACUGGACUGCGGUAAAGAAUAUCCUCAAGUACCUAUGGAGGACUAAGGACUGGGUCCUUACCCUCGGUUGGAGUGAAGACUUGAGAGUUGUAGGGUAUAGUGAUGCUAGCUUUCAGACUGAUAGGGAUAAUUUCCGCUCUCAGUCUGGCUAGGUCUUUACCUUAAACAGAGGAGCAAUUUCUUAGAAGAGUUCCAAGCAAGAGACAGUGGCUGAUUCAACUUGCGAAUCAGAGUAUAUAGCAGCUAGCGAGGCAGAUAAGGAGUCAAUAUGGCUGAAAAAAUUCAUUGGAGACCUUGGAGUUGUACCAGCUAUUAAGGAGCCAAUGGAAAUUUUUUGUGAUAGUGAAAGUGCAGUUGCCUUAGCCACGGAACCAAGGGAUCACCGGAGAUCCAGACACAUCGACAGAAAAUACCAUUUCAUCAGACAUCGAAUAGAAGAAGGACUCCUCGUGGAAAAGAGGGUAUCAUCGGAUGAGAAUCCAGUAGAUUCCCUCACGAAGGGACUGACUCGGGUUAAGCAUCUCCAGCAUGCUCAGAGCAUAGGGCUGAAGGAUGACAUUAGAUUUAGUAGUUAGAUAACCUUGAAAUUUGUAAAGUGAAAUUGACAUUAGAUGAUGAAUGAAAGGUGUUUUAUUUAUGAGUAAAGUAUUUCUAUCUCUUUUCGAUCGUUUACUAUAUUUCUUUUUCAUGUUUUGACUUCUAGAAUAAUUAUGUUUGGUAUAUCAUAUUAUUCGAACCUCCACAAUCAGUCAUAUGUCGGAAGUAGGUAUGAAUCAAGACUGUCAUGAUUGGAUGCAGAGGUCUAAGUUGUUGGACAUGGCUACAACACUCAUGAGUGCUCCUAAGUUCUAAGCAUUGGACUCAACCCACGCUCACUGGAAUCACUUCAUGGAAUUUAUCUCGAGUGAUCGUGAGACGGUAAUAUCAUAUAAGUCUUCAAACCUAGAGAUAUGAUUUGUUAGUUAUGAGUUGAUUAUGCAUUGAUUGUAUGAAAAUGCAUUGGUAACUCGAUGUUAUAAAACGUGCUCUUGUGUAUAAUUCAAUGAGUAGUAGAACAAAUAUAUGAGUCGAAGUUUAUCUGUUCCUUCUUGGAUUAGAAGCUGAUAUCUGGGCCCCUCCAUGAUUUUGUUUUGACCUAUGUACCAGGCCCGGUCAGAAACAAGUUGAUGUGUUCAAUUAAGUUCUUUGUCAAACAAAUCGGAAAUCGGGAAACAAACUGUUGGACAAUAAGUAAGACAUUGUUCCAUGUAUUUGUCCGACUGAUAUCUAGAACAGAGGAUUAUAUGAUCACUUAUCUUAAAUGGCGUAUCAUCAUCUUCUCAGUUCCGAGAGACCUUGAAAGAGCUACGAUUGCCGAUCGGUUCCUGAAGUAUUGCAGUUAUAGUUAUUAGACUUAUCCAAGUGGGAGACUGUUGGAUAAGGUGUCUAAGUCCAUAACUAUUUCUGGUAUGUACUUGACCCGACCCGACAUGGUCCAUUUGGGUUGCAUGGCACCAUGCAAUUGGAUAGACUAAAUGAGAGAAAUAACACUUGGAGAUUAUUAAUAUAUUAUAAGUUCUAAUAUAUUAAUAAUAUUAUUUGAUUAGUUUGAUCAAGAAUUAAUUUAGAAUUAAUUAAGUGAUCAAAAGAGAACUAAUUAAAUAUAUGGGUUGAUUAUGUAAAUCAUCCAUAUCUUGUAUAGUGGGCUAAGAGGCUCCAUGGAUUAUCAAGUUGGGUUCCACCCAUAGGAUGCUCCAUGGAGUUAACCAAUGGAUCAUGAAAUGAAGAGUCAUGUUAUAUUAGGGUUUACCUAAUGCAGCACACUAUAUAAACAAAGGUGUUCUCCCCAAAAUCGGCUAGACUAAGAAACAAGAGGUCUAGAGCCGGUUUUGCAAGUGUAAGAUUCUCUCAAAGUUUACUCCUUUGCAUUUGGCGUUGUGUGAAGCAUUUGAUGCGUCACACUUGGGGUGCUUGGCUUACAAGGUUUCAAGGAUCAUAAUCAACAACAAGGUAUGUUAUUCUAUCUUUC